GGGCCCGUAGCUCAGUGGUUAGAGCAGUCGGCUCAUAACUGAUUGGUCGUAGGUUCGAAUCCUACCGGGCCCACCA
rnacentral:tRNA from 1 species